GGAAUCUUCCACAAUGGGCGAAAGCCUGAUGGAGCAACGCCGCGUGUGUGAUGAAGGCUUUCGGGUCGUAAAGCACUGUUGUAUGGGAAGAACAGCUAGAAUAGGAAAUGAUUUUAGUUUGACGGUACCAUACCAGAAAGGGACGGCUAAAUACGUGGCAG
rnacentral:rRNA from 1 species